AUUGGGUGUCGUGGCUUUAGAAUGUAUGGUUUAGGAUAUGAUUUUCGGAGUGAUGAUUAUAAGGUAGUUACACUUUCUUAUUAUGCUACUGGUAUUGAUAAUACGCCUGAUAUUUUUAAUACUUCUGUGGCUGUGUACUCUGUGAGAAAGGGUCUUUGGAGGAGACUACUACAGAGCAAAGAGAGUCAUUGGGGGAGACUCUAUUCUAACGAUUGUGCAGUUCCUGACAGUGCUUCUGGGGUUUUGGUUAAAAGGGCUUUGUAUUGGUCGGCUCCUAACCGUUUGAGGCGGUCCCCUGAUGUGGCAAAUGGGGUUUUCGUAAGAGGGAUUUGGGAAAAUGGGGCUUUGCAUUGGUUGGCUAGUGAAGGUUCUGACUAUUCACCUGUAAUUGUUGCUUUUGAUAUACUUGAAGAGAAAUUUUUUGAGGUGCCAGGACCUACUACUGUAGAGAAGGGUACACAUGUGGUCAGUAAGCUUGUGGCUCUUAGAAGGCGUCUUUCUAUUUUGUCUGAAACAGAAGAAACGGAUACUACUUGGACAAUAACGAAUACUAUUUGGACGAUGAAAGACUAUGGGAUUGAGGAGUCUUGGACCAGAUAUGAAGUUAAAGGAUCGGAUCUCGCUGAGUUGAUACCAUUUUGUUUAAUGAGUGAGGAUGAUGUUGUACUAGAUGCAUGUGGAAGUUUGAUUGUCUACAAUAGGAGAGAGGAUCAGUGGAGAGAUAUAAUGGAUGAUAGAACUCCUAUUAUGUUGUAUGGAGCUGGAACUAGAACCUUCAGGGAGAGUCUUGUUCCUCCCACCUUCUGAGAUGAUGCUACAUACAGGUUUUAAUUUAUUUGCCACAGUAGGAGUGGAUCAUCCAGCCGACGGUCUUUCGGAAACAGCCUCUAAGGAAUUCAUCUGCUUCCGUGAACAUGUUCUGGUGCUUCUAUUGAACGGUUUCUUGUGUUUGUGCAGAGGGCCGAAUCUCUGUGUCUCUCUCGAUGCAUUUUUUGAGCAGAUCCUCGUUCUUGAGAUUUAUUUUGUUGACUGUAUAUCUCAGUUUAGUUUCUGAACAUUAGAUGAGUAGAUGAUCUGAGUAACUAUUUGCAUACUCAUUUGACAAGGGAGGGGUUUACAUUAAGGUUUAACUGUCAUGUUAAAACAGCAAGAUAGUCCUUUUUGUUGCAGUAUCAAAUUUUCCAGCUUUGCUAUGUUUUAGCUUAUCAGAUAUAACUCUGCUUAUCAUAACCGACACCUCUAAUUGUCGAUAAAUUCAAGAUCCAAGCCUUUCCUGUAGGUGAUUAAUGGAGAAUGAGGUCAAUAAGUAAAUACAGGAAAAUGUUUAUGCCCUAUAACCUGCAAUUCUGAAUAUGAACCUUUAGUUUUUGUCAAUUACUUAAAAAGAUAGCCCUGAGACAUUCAUAUUUUCUCCUACUUAUGCUUUGUAUUGUGUGAGAAAAACAACGCAUCAAUGCAAUGACUGUUAGCAAAAUGCUAUUAUUGAGUUUUUCCAAUAAUAUUGUGCGUAUUGUCUUCAGAUUCAACCAUUCUGACUAUUUUAGCCUAUUACUACAUGUUAUCUUUUUAUAAAUUUGUGCCCCUUUUCUUUAGAUAAUGCUAUUCUUCCUGUUUUAGGCUUUUAGCCAUUAAGCAGAUUAUGAAGAUCUACAUCAACUCAUUAUCCUAAAAUUAAUACAGUAUUCAUAAGCAAGGGGUCCCUUAAUCUGCUUGUUAUUUCUACCUUCUUUUGUGUCAAAAACUAUCUAAGAAUUUACCUCUUUCUAUCUACUGUAAAUCUGUAAUAAUUAAGAGAACACGUUAUAUGCUUGGUUUCCAAACUGUUUUGCAGCAAGACCCUUCAAUGAAAGAGCAUCCCGGUGCACAAAGUAUCUUGCAUUUGUGCAGGGUUCGAAAGGAUCGCACCCCUAGGAGUGUGAUGAAGACAGCCUACCCUAUUGUAAGCAUUAGUGGCUGCUUCACGGCUCGAACCGUGACCUAUGGAAAGAACUUCAUCGUUGCGCCUACGUGUAAGUUAUUUCCUACGUUAUAUGUGGCCCAAUAAGAUUAGGCCCAUAAUUAAUAUUUAAUUAAUGAGCAAAUUUCAUCCGUCCGAUCGGUUACUUGAUGGACGUACCAGAUUAAAUAAGAACCUCUAUAAAUUGGUCCUCUCCCCACCGGGUUAUCGUAUUUUUAUUCUCUCUUCCAUCACUAAAGUUGGCGGUAACGAAAGCUAGGGCAAGGGGCGAGAAACCAAUUUACCGAUUAACGCUUCCGCUUCAACAUAAUGGAUUCCGCUUCAGGUAUGUUUUCUAUGACGAUUAUAUGUAAGAUUAUCAUGUUCAAGAUCCUGGUAUGAAUUAAAAUUUAUGCUUACAUAUGGUAUCACGAGCCUGGAUUAUUUGAACUGAUAAUUUUCGCAAAAGAAAAACUAUAUCAUUAUGUUGAUCCGUACUGUUCUAAUUGGAUCUUCGAUAAUCUCGUAUCUGAUUCCAAUUCUUUUAAUUUGAGGAUACACAAUAAAGUAUGAAAUCUCUUUCGUGAAUUGCUAGUAAUAAAUUAUGCCAAAAUUUCUAUUUGAACGAAGAAAGGUCGGACUCGUUGUUUAAAGAAUUUUCGGCGUUAUGUUCCUCCCUAUAUUGUCCUGUCAUAAAUUUUGCUUUAAUGUUGCUUUAGUUAAAAUUGAUAUUGGGAAUGUAGCGUUCUCUUUAAAACAGUAACCUUCAAUAUUUGAUCUUUCUUGUAUUAGGUAUCCAUUUAAAGUCUGCCACAUAUAUUUAUGUUAUCUUAAUUUCUUCUUUUGGAUGCCUUAAGGAUAUUUUGUUCCAACGUUACUUCUAAGCCAUUAUGAAAGAUUUCCUUUAUGAAAGAUUAGUUACUGUUUAACCUUAGGCCAUAAAGAAAUUUAUUUGAUCUAUUUAAUUUAAGUAUUUGGACUAUUAAGUUGGUGAAGUCAUUUAUUAUUUAUUUUAUGUAUGUGAUUAAUGUUUAUAUAGUUUGUUAGUCACCAAAGUGAUCAAACUAGAUUAU